GAUGAACGCUGGCGGCGUGCCUAAUACAUGCAAGUCGAGCGAACAGACGAGGAGCUUGCUCCUUCGACGUUAGCGGCGGACGGGUGAGUAACACGUAGGUAACCUACCUAUAAGACUUGGAUAACUGCGGGAAACCGGAGCUAAGACCGGAUAAUAUUUCUAACCGCAUGGUUCGAUAGUGAAAGAUGGCUUUGCUAUCACUGAUAGAUGGACCUGCGCCGUAUUAGCUAGUUGGUAAGGUAACGGCUUACCAAGGCAACGAUACGUAGCCGACCUGAGAGGGUGAACGCCCCCACAGGGAGUGGACCACGGUCCAGACUCCUAGGGGCGGCAGAGGCAGGGAAUGGUCGGAAAAGGGCGGAAGACUGCCGGAGCAACGCAGCGUGAGUGAUGCAGGGCCUCGGAUCGUAAAACUCUGUUAGUAGUGAAGAACACUCGUGUAAGUAACUGUGCACGUCUUGACGGUACCUAAUCAGAAAGCCACGGCUAACUACGUG
rnacentral:rRNA from 1 species